GUUAUACUCCUUCCGUCUGAAAAUACUUUCCAUCAAAAUAGAUAAGAAGAGAUGUAUCUAGAACUAAAAUACGUCCAAAUACAUCCCCGUUUAUCCAUUUUGAUGGCAAGAAUUUCUGGAUGGAGGGAGUAGAUG
rfam:Triticum aestivum genome assembly, contig: Triticum_aestivum_CS42_TGACv1_scaffold_513280_6BS